GUCAGUGUGGUGUAGUGGUUUGAGCAUUGGACUACAAUUCUAGAGACCAGGGUUUGAUUUCCCACUCGGCCA